GACAUCAUUAGUGCAAUCCUGUCACAGCCCGAUGGAGCCAUUAAGACAUUUCUCGUGAAUAUUUAGAAAAUCCCAAAAUCUCAGCACUCAGUUAUCGAUAAAUGGAUACUUUUGUUGUCAAGAAUGAUCUCACCCUUAAGAGUAGGGUCAAUGCUCCUUAUAGUUUGCCUUCCUAUAUGUACUGUAUAGAUUUAGAAAGUUUGGACCUUUCCAACUGCCGCCGUCCAGCUUUAGGGGUUUCCACAAGCUCAGAAGCCUUUCACUACAUCAAGUCGCCUUAGAAUUAGAUGAUGUUGCGACUUAUUUGUUGUGGAUGCCAAACCUUGAGGGCCUCCGUUUUAUGUCGUGCAGUGGUCUUCAUCACUUGAAAAUAUAUGCUCCAGAACUUUUGCUAUUAAGUUUCUGUACAAGUGGAAUUGACACCCUUCAGUUGGGUAAUUUCAUGGACUUUCGGAAGCUGAAAACAGUUUUACUUGAAUCACAAAACAAUCAAGAUAAAUCUUUGAACUUGACUAAUCUUUUCAGCGGCUGGCCUAAAGUUCGUCGUCUUCUUUUGGACAGUUACUACCUGAAGGUAAGUCUGUUGCUUCUGGUAUUGAAGCAGAGAGCCUCAACAGCUUGAGGGUUCUCACUCUUCAUCAAUUCAACUUUGAUGAUGAAGAUCAGAUAUCUUCCCUUCUAAGAAUGCUUAGCGGCUCUCCUAAUUUGAAUCCCUUCUAUUUUCGUUGCGCUCGAAGAAGAAAGGUGAUGUUGAAGUCAAUGUGAAUCAUUUUGAAGGACCAACCCACAGGAGACAAGGACUCAACAAGCUUAAAAGAUUCGAUAUAGAUUACUUCCAAGGUUCAAAAACUGAAUUGCUCUUUGUAAGGUUUGUACUUGCCUCUGCAACUUUACUCCUGAAGGCCACCCUUUUGGUAGAUGAAAGCGUUCAUGAAGGCCAGCACUUGGACAUCUCAAAGGAGUAGAUGGACUUCCAUCAGGCAUCUCCCAAAUUAGAAAUAAUAUGCGAACGAUAAAUUGAAUCAAGCACUGAGAUGGCCGGACCUGCUAUCUAUCUCACCCUUUAUUCUCUGCAAUAGUGACUAGUGCAGAGGGUCCUAUAUAUUUAUCUUGAGUGGAAUGUUACCUUGGAUAGUUAUACUUUUGGUCCCUCAUCCAGAAAUUUUAGUUUUGGUUCUUGGUAUUUGACUAACAUCAAUUUAUUGAAUAUGUUGUGUUUUCUAAUAGCAGUUUUGUUGUGAAAGUAUAGGAUCUUGUUAUGUAUUCCUUCUGUUUUGACAAACAAAGAGAAUUUGAAGGAUUGAAGCGCUCAGUGCAAUUGACAGACUGUAUUUGAGAGAUCUGGUGUAAUUAACUAAAUAUUAACUCUAGUACUGUGUUUUUUUACGCCAGAGGCUAGAUAUAAAAAAUGACCAGGAUUUUGUGCUUUUAGUUCCGGCUUUUUAUUAAUUAUUAUAGAGAAUCUUUUUCUUCUAUAUGUAACUUCCAGAGGGAAUGCUACAAACAACUUUGCCCCGUGACUGCUUUUCCUUCUAGUGCAGUAUAAUUGGCAUUGAUUUUUUUUUCUUUUUCGAAAAAGGUCUUUUUCAUUUGCUAUUUUUGUGUGUGUAACCGUCGACAGUGUAAAAUGAAACUUCAAAUUGGAUAUACCAAAAUCUGGUUCAGGUUCAGCUGGUAAAUCUGUCCAAUGAGGCAGCAGGGACAGAAUGAUCAGCAAUACCGGCGUCACGUUGGAAUCAGAAGCUGUGAGAGUAGCUGGUAACUGGUUACUUGAUAAUGUGACAGUUGGUACUAGCCACAACAGGAUUGUCCGUUUGUGACUGGAGGCCACUACAUCAAGUGUUCUUGUUGAGUAGUUGACAGAGCCAAAGCUGAGGGCUAGGAGCAAGAUGCAGAAGGUAGCUUGGAGUGUUUUUAGAGGUGAGUUGGGAAAAUUUAGCCAUCUUUUCUCUUGUGAAAAAUUCUAGGAUGGUAGAUGAGAACAAAUGUUGAGGAUAUAUCUAUAGUUUGAUUAUGAGGUGUUUUUGGUAUGGAGUGAAAGAUACCCUAUACUACUUUUUUGUUGGGAAAGAACACAUCCGAAAUGGUCAUUAGGUUUGGUUGAACCAAAUGUACAAGUAUUUUUGUAACUAUGUUUCCAGUUAUAGUACAUUAAGACUGAGGGGUCUAGAGCUGUAGCCAUGAAGAUGUACAAGUAUUUCGUUUGAUGAGUUAAUUAAUCGUUCAGUUAAACUAAUGAAAGUAUUUUAUACCAAUUGAGAAAUUAAUUAGCGGUUUUCAAAUGUAAACCAUAUAGAGAAUGUAUUUUAGAUGUUUAGUGUUCAAUUCACUAAGAACUGUACUGAAGCUAAUUUGAUCUCUUUUUGACAGCUUCAGCCAGAGUUUCCUCUUCUCAUAUUUCCUGGUUAAGAAAAUUGCAAGCAGCAGAAUGUAAGUUAACUAUACUUGUAAAGUUAAUAAAAUAAUGAAAUGUAGAGUUAAAUAUCUAGACACCAAAUUAACCACAAUACCAAGGCUGCUGUCAAAUUAGCUUUCUUCUUCAAAAAGAAAAAUCUUCAACAUUCUUGAAAUAAAUAAAAGCUUGAGUCACCCAUUUUUCCAACUUUUUAAGAUUUCUAAUCCUUCUUUUUGCAGUUAUUUGUUUC